rnacentral:rRNA from 1 species
GAUGAACGCUGGCGGCGUGCCUAAUACAUGCAAGUCGAGCGAACGGACGAGAAGCUUGCCUCUCUGAUGUUAGCGGCGGACGGGUGAGUAACACGUGGAUAACCUACCUAUAAGACUGGGAUAACUUCGGGAAACCGGAGCUAAUACCGGAUAAUAUUUUGAACCGCAUGGUUCAAAAGUGAAAGACGGUCUUGCUGUCACUUAUAGAUGGAUCCGCGCUGCAUUAGCUAGUUGGUAAGGUAACGGCCUACCAAGGCAACGAUGCAUAGCCGACCUGAGAGGGUGAUCGGCCACACUGGAACUGAGACACGGUCCAGACUCCUACGGGAGGCAGCAGUAGGGAAUCUUCCGCAAUGGGCGAAAGCCUGACGGAGCAACGCCGCGUGAGUGAUGAAGGUCUUCGGAUCGUAAAACUCUGUUAUUAGGGAAGAACAUAUGUGUAAGUAACUGUGCACAUCUUGACGGUACCUAAUCAGAAAGCCACGGCUAACUACGUG